ACCCGUCUAGCUCAGUCGGUAGAGCGCAAGGCUCUUAACCUUUGUGGUCGUGGGUCCGAGCCCCACAGUGGGCG